UACACAUGGAGGCCAGUAACCAUACAAACGGGGUGAAACUGAAAAACCUUACGAGUAGGAAUUUA
rfam:Saccharicrinis fermentans DSM 9555 = JCM 21142 DNA, contig: JCM21142.contig00058.